CAUUGGUCAAUGGCCGAGAGGCUGAACCAGCCAAGUCGCGUGAGGGAUGACGGCCCUACGGGNUGUAAACCUCUUUUGUCGGGGANNCANNNGNGUCACGUGUGGCUCAUUGAGAGUACCCGAAGAAAAANNNUNANCUAACUCCGUGCCAUCAGCCGCGGUAAUACGGAGGAUGCGAGCGUUAUCCGGAUUUAUUGGGUUUAAAGGGUGCGCAGGCGGAGGUGCAAGUCAGUGGUCAAAUUGCGGGGCUCAACCCCGUACUGCCGUUGAAACUGCAUCCCUUGAGUGCGCGAGAAGUAUGCGGAAUGCGUGGUGUAGCGGUGAAAUGCAUAGAUAUCACGCAGAACUCCGAUUGCGAAGGCAGCAUACCGGCGCGCAACUGACGCUCAUGCACGAAAGCGUGGGUAUCGAACAGG
rnacentral:rRNA from 1 species